rnacentral:SRP_RNA from 1 species
CGCGCAUGGAUUGGGAGCCUGGCGGAACCCUAUAACCUGCAAUCCGCUGCAAGCAGGGUCCGAACCCGGAUGAGAAAUUAAGACUAUGCUUUUCCCGCAGUUCGCUGGUACUGUCGGGUCUUGCGCAAUAGCACCCUGUGAACCCCGUCAGGUUCGGAAGAAAGCAGCGGUAAGCAGAUCGUUCUAUGUGCCGCAAGGGUGCCUGAUAGUAUUUGCGGCUGCGGGAAUUCAUAUGAUUUUGAUUUCACAGCCGGGUGCGCG